UACGUAGGGUGCGAGCGUUAAUCGGAAUUACUGGGCGUAAAGCGCGCGUAGGCGGCUUUGCAAGUCGGGUGUGAAAUCCCCAGGCUUAACCUGGGAACUGCAUUCGAGACUGCAUUGCUAGAGUAUGGGAGAGGGAAGUGGAAUCUCCGGUGUAGCGGUGAAAUGCGUAGAUAUCGGAAGGAACAUCAGUGGCGAAAGCGACUUCCUGGACCAAUACUGACGCUCAUGUGCGAAAGCGUGGGGAGCAAACAGG
rnacentral:rRNA from 1 species